rnacentral:rRNA from 1 species
UACGUAGGUGGCAAGCGUUAUCCGGAUUUACUGGGUGUAAGGGGCGUGUAGGCGGGAGAGCAAGUCAGACGUGAAAUUCCAGGGCUCAACCCUGGAACUGCGUUUGAAACUGUUCUUCUUGAGUGAUGGAGAGGCAGGCGGAAUUCCGUGUGUAGCGGUGAAAUGCGUAGAUAUACGGAGGAACACCAGUGGCGAAGGCGGCCUGCUGGACAUUAACUGACGCUGAGGCGCGAAAGCGUGGGGAGCAAACAGG